GGGUUGUGAGGUUAAGCGACUAAGCGUACACGGUGGAUGCCCUGGCAGUCAGAGGCGAUGAAGGACGUGCUAAUCUGCGAUAAGCGUCGGUAAGGUGAUAUGAACCGUUAUAACCGGCGAUUUCCGAAUGGGGAAACCCAGUGUGAUUCGUCACACUAUCAUUAACUGAAUCCAUAGGUUAAUGAGGCGAACCGGGGGAACUGAAACAUCUAAGUACCCCGAGGAAAAGAAAUCAACCGAGAUUCCCCCAGUAGCGGCGAGCGAACGGGGAGCAGCCCAGAGCCUGAAUCAGUGUGUGUGUUAGUGGAAGCGUCUGGAAAGGCGCGCGAUACAGGGUGACAGCCCCGUACACAAAAAUGCACAUGCUGUGAGCUCGAUGAGUAGGGCGGGACACGUGGUAUCCUGUCUGAAUAUGGGGGGACCAUCCUCCAAGGCUAAAUACUCCUGACUGACCGAUAGUGAACCAGUACCGUGAGGGAAAGGCGAAAAGAACCCCGGCGAGGGGAGUGAAAAAGAACCUGAAACCGUGUACGUACAAGCAGUGGGAGCACGCUUAGGCGUGUGACUGCGUACCUUUUGUAUAAUGGGUCAGCGACUUAUAUUCUGUAGCAAGGUUAACCGAAUAGGGGAGCCGAAGGGAAACCGAGUCUUAACUGGGCGUUAAGUUGCAGGGUAUAGACCCGAAACCCGGUGAUCUAGCCAUGGGCAGGUUGAAGGUUGGGUAACACUAACUGGAGGACCGAACCGACUAAUGUUGAAAAAUUAGCGGAUGACUUGUGGCUGGGGGUGAAAGGCCAAUCAAACCGGGAGAUAGCUGGUUCUCCCCGAAAGCUAUUUAGGUAGCGCCUCGUGAAUUCAUCUCCGGGGGUAGAGCACUGUUUCGGCAAGGGGGUCAUCCCGACUUACCAACCCGAUGCAAACUGCGAAUACCGGAGAAUGUUAUCACGGGAGACACACGGCGGGUGCUAACGUCCGUCGUGAAGAGGGAAACAACCCAGACCGCCAGCUAAGGUCCCAAAGUCAUGGUUAAGUGGGAAACGAUGUGGGAAGGCCCAGACAGCCAGGAUGUUGGCUUAGAAGCAGCCAUCAUUUAAAGAAAGCGUAAUAGCUCACUGGUCGAGUCGGCCUGCGCGGAAGAUGUAACGGGGCUAAACCAUGCACCGAAGCUGCGGCAGCGACACUGUGUGUUGUUGGGUAG
rnacentral:rRNA from 1 species